UACGUAGGGUGCAAGCGUUGUCCGGAAUUAUUGGGCGUAAAGAGCUCGUAGGCGGUUUGUCGCGUCUGCUGUGAAAACUCGGGGCUUAACUCCGGGCCUGCAGUGGGUACGGGCAGACUAGAGGUAGGUAGGGGGAGAUCGGAAUUCCUGGUGUAGCGGUGAAAUGCGCAGAUAUCAGGAGGAACACCGGUGGCGAAGGCGGAUCUCUGGGCCUUACCUGACGCUCAGGUGCGAAAGCUAGGGGGAGCGAACAGG
rnacentral:rRNA from 1 species